rnacentral:rRNA from 1 species
GGAUGAACGCUGGCGGCGUGCCUAAUACAUGCAAGUCGAGCGAACAGACGAGGAGCUUGCUCCUUUGACGUUAGCGGCGGACGGGUGAGUAACACGUGGGUAACCUACCUAUAAGACUGGGAUAACUUCGGGAAACCGGAGCUAAUACCGGAUAAUAUUUCGAACCGCAUGGUUCGAUAGUGAAAGAUGGCUCUGCUAUCACUUAUAGAUGGACCUGCGCCGUAUUAGCUAGUUGGUAAGGUAACGGCUUACCAAGGCAACGAUACGUAGCCGACCUGAGAGGGUGAUCGGCCACACUGGAACUGAGACACGGUCCAGACUCCUACGGGAGGCAGCAGUAGGGAAUCUUCCGCAAUGGGCGAAAGCCUGACGGAGCAACGCCGCGUGAGUGAUGAAGGUCUUCGGAUCGUAAAACUCUGUUAUUAGGGAAGAACAAACGUGUAAGUAACUGUGCACGUCUUGACGGUACCUAAUCAGAAAGCCACGGCUAACUACGUG